UACGUAGGUGGCAAGCGUUGUCCGGAAUUAUUGGGCGUAAAGCGCGCGCAGGCGGUCCUUUAAGUCUGAUGUGAAAGCCCACGGCUCAACCGUGGAGGGUCAUUGGAAACUGGAGGACUUGAGUACAGAAGAGGAAAGCGGAAUUCCACGUGUAGCGGUGAAAUGCGUAGAGAUGUGGAGGAACACCAGUGGCGAAAGCGACUUUCUGGUCCUUAACUGACGCUGAGGCGCGAAAGCAUGGGGAGCGAACGGG
rnacentral:rRNA from 1 species